UACGAAGGGUGCAAGCGUUACUCGGAAUUACUGGGCGUAAAGCGUGCGUAGGUGGUUUGUUAAGUCUGAUGUGAAAGCCCUGGGCUCAACCUGGGAAUUGCAUUGGAUACUGGCAGGCUAGAGUGCGGUAGAGGGUAGUGGAAUUCCCGGUGUAGCAGUGGAAUGCGUAGAGAUCGGGAGGAACACCAGUGGCGAAGGCGACUACCUGGACCAGCACUGACACUGAGGCACGAAAGCGUGGGGAGCAAACAGG
rnacentral:rRNA from 1 species